GACGAACGCUGGCGGCGUGCUUAACACAUGCAAGUCGAACGGAAAGGCCCUGCUUUUGUGGGGUGCUCGAGUGGCGAACGGGUGAGUAACACGUGAGUAACCUGCCCUUGACUUUGGGAUAACUUCAGGAAACUGGGGCUAAUACCGGAUAGGAGCUCCUGCUGCAUGGUGGGGGUUGGAAAGUUUCGGCGGUUGGGGAUGGACUCGCGGCUUAUCAGCUUGUUGGUGGGGUAGUGGCUUACCAAGGCUUUGACGGGUAGCCGGCCUGAGAGGGUGACCGGCCACAUUGGGACUGAGAUACGGCCCAGACUCCUACGGGAGGCAGCAGUGGGGAAUAUUGCACAAUGGGCGGAAGCCUGAUGCAGCAACGCCGCGUGCGGGAUGACGGCCUUCGGGUUGUAAACCGCUUUCGCCUGUGACGAAGCGUGAGUGACGGUAAUGGGUAAAGAAGCACCGGCUAACUACGUGCCAGCAGCCGCGGUGAUACGUAGGGUGCGAGCGUUGUCCGGAUUUAUUGGGCGUAAAGGGCUCGUAGGUGGUUGAUCGCGUCGGAAGUGUAAUCUUGGGGCUUAACCCUGAGCGUGCUUUCGAUACGGGUUGACUUGAGGAAGGUAGGGGAGAAUGGAAUUCCUGGUGGAGCGGUGGAAUGCGCAGAUAUCAGGAGGAACACCAGUGGCGAAGGCGGUUCUCUGGGCCUUUCCUGACGCUGAGGAGCGAAAGCGUGGGGAGCGAACAGGCUUAGAUACCCUGGUAGUCCACGCUGUAAACGGUGGGUACUAGGUGUGGGGUCCUUUCCACGGGUUCCGUGCCGUAGCUAACGCUUUAAGUACCCCGCCUGGGGAGUACGGCCGCAAGGCUAAAACUCAAAGGAAUUGACGGGGCCCCGCACAAGCGGCGGAGCAUGCGGAUUAAUUCGAUGCAACGCGUAGAACCUUACCUGGGUUUGACAUGGAUCGGGAGUGCUCAGAGAUGGGUGUGCCUCUUUUGGGGUCGGUUCACAGGUGGUGCAUGGCUGUCGUCAGCUCGUGUCGUGAGAUGUUGGGUUAAGUCCCGCAACGAGCGCAACCCUUGUUCACUGUUGCCAGCACGUUAUGGUGGGGACUCAGUGGAGACCGCCGGGGUCAACUCGGAGGAAGGUGGGGAUGACGUCAAGUCAUCAUGCCCCUUAUGUCCAGGGCUUCACGCAUGCUACAAUGGCUGGUACAGAGAGUGGCGAGCCUGUGAGGGUGAGCGAAUCUCGGAAAGCCGGUCUCAGUUCGGAUUGGGGUCUGCAACUCGACCUCAUGAAGUCGGAGUCGCUAGUAAUCGCAGAUCAGCAACGCUGCGGUGAAUACAGUUCCCGGGGCU
rnacentral:rRNA from 1 species